GACGUAGGUGGCGAACGUUAUCCGGAAUUACUGGGCGUAAAGGGCGCGUAGGCGGCCACCUAAGUCGGAUGUGAAAGCCCCUGGCUCAACUGGGGAAGUGCACCCGAAACUGAGUGGCUUGAGUACUAAAGAGGGUCGCGGAAUUCCCGGUGUAGAGGUGAAAUUCGUAGAUAUCGGGAGGAACACCGGUGGCGAAGGCAGCUCGCUGGGACGUUACUGACGCUGAGACGCGAAAGCGUGGGUAGCAAACAGG
rnacentral:rRNA from 1 species